GCCAACCCCACCAUGAGACUCACUGCCUUCCUACUUCUGCUGUGCCUGUGCUCUGCACUAAUGACUUCUAAAUGUGCUCUUGCAGUUGGAGUGGCGGAUGAAGAGAUUAAUAACAAUUAUUUCUCCUCAAGUUCUGACCCAAAAGGACCCUCCCAGACCAAUCAUUU